UAGGAUAGGCCGGAGACUUCGAAGCAGGUACGCCAGUAUUUGUGGAGUCGCUGUUGAAAUACGGCCCUUUGAUUAUUUGAGUUCUAACUCGUGGUACGAGGACACUGUUUGGUGGGUAGUUUGACUGGGGUGGUCGCCUCCAAAAUAGUAACGGAGGCUUCUAAAGGUGCCCUCAGGACGAUUGGUAACCGUCCGCAGAGUGUAAUGGCAUAAGGGCGCUUGACUGGGAGACUUACAAGUCGAUCAGGUAGGA
rnacentral:rRNA from 1 species